rnacentral:misc_RNA from 1 species
GAAUAAGGCAAACAGCGAGGAAACAGUGCACAAACUUGUGAAAGGAGCGUACAUACCUCAGCGAGAACAGGUUGGAAGUUGAAUGAGCGGUGUUUUAAGUAAAGCGGGAAGUAAUCGAGCGGAACUAGUCAAAGUUUAAAGCGUUAUAAUGAUGACAGCUGACUGGAUUACUUAUUCUAAUGAAGAAUAGGCGUUGGAUACAUCUAUCAUGCCUUGACUCCAGCAUCUGUGCUUGGUUUUCGUGUAAUGGGAGUUUGUUUAAAACCUGGAAUGGAUUUCCAAUACUGUGUUAAAGACAAUGUGUACAUUUCACCUCAUCCUGUGGAGAGAUCAAGGUGUCUUGUGCUGUGCUGAGACUGGGGACUGACGCUAUGUUGCAUCCCCUAAUCCUGGCCAUCGCCUUGGGGCCAACGCUGCAAGGCAUUGUGGAUGCCUGUGGAAGGGUUCCAGGCAAGCCCACAACUCCAGCCCCUGUCCCGGACACCACGACUGAAGCCUUUUCACAUCGGAAGCCAUGUACUGAUAGUGAAAAGCACAAAAAGGGAUGCCUCCAAAAUGGAGAAUGUUUUGCUGUACAUUUAGGUGGAAACAGAACACUAUCUUGCAAGUGUCCAGAGAUGUUCACAGGUCAGAGAUGUGAAGAGCUAUCACCUGAUAUCUUCGAAAAAUUACGAGAGGAGGAGAAGGUUGUGACAGCCAGCAUAGCAGCCGGUGUGUCAGUACUCAUCAUUUCAUUGACAAUGGGGAUAAUAUAUGCUGUUGUCAAAGUUAAACGAAGACGGAAUCGCCAGGAGACACGGCUGAAUGGGGUUCCAAAAAAAUGGAAAUCUUUUGAGGCCAAUAAAUGAGAAUGAUAGCCCUGAUGAAGGAGAUGAGUCAAUAACAGAAGAUGAGAAAAAACAGACACUUUUAUACAAUAACCACCUUUUAAAUGACAUACACAACUGCAACAGAGAAACAAAUGUAUGAUCAAGACAACCAGGGGUGGCCAUCUUGUUUUCGUUAUGUGACCUUGACCCUAGCAUUUAUCAUGUGACCCCAUGUAAAGCACACAUCAAGAAUACUUCAUCGUUCAUAUCAUUAUCAAUGUUGGCACCAAUACAGUGGGCCAUAUACAACAAGCAUAUAUGAGUGCCAUAGAGUAACAACUGAAGUAUAUAUGAUAUUCCGAAGAACAGUUUUAGUGUGACAUCGGUUAAAAGCCACAAGAGAGAAAAUGACAAGAAUGUAUGAAUGAUGAAUCAUCCUUAUGCAAUUUCCAUACUGUGCAACGCCUGGAAACCAGACAGUCGUGGAAUUCAGAUAGGUGGAAAGAUGAUGGAUAUAUGGCAACUACAUCAGUACACCUUCAACACAGACGACAGUACACAUCUUCCUGGAACAUGGAUUACCUUGUUUGUGAGCCAGAUUGAAAUCUACAUGUGAUGAUGCUUGUUUCCUUUGGUUGUGAAAUGGGCACGAGCAAGUCACAACAGUGAUGAUAGGACAUCAACAGCUAAUUUCUAGGUUUUGUAACCUACAACUACAAGCUUAGAAACAAAUGUGUUCACAGAUUCAUGGAGACCCUUCUUGUUUUUUGGCUAGUCAGUGAUUUUGUUCAGUUUGAAACCAAGAAGAUGGCACCCCUGUUGCACCUUCUGAUUUUAGUCACAAAACUGACUGGAAGGAUUGUGUUUCUGACGGCAAUGGGACAAAUGAAAUGCAUUGCCCACAGGGACUGCUCUUUCAUGGAAAAACAGAUUCUGUGAUCUACAGUUGGUGAAUUGAUUCUGCCAACUGGCAAGUGGCCAUUACUGUAUGUAUAUGACCUUUAAUGAUUGAUCUGUGUGACCUUUGUCACACAUGACAUGUGACAUGGUGACCUUUGACACAGUGUGACCUUGAUCUGUGACACAGUCCAAAAACAUAUCACGGCUGAUAACCUCUUACUAUCACGAAAUGCCUUGUUUUUGAAACAAGUGGUGCUUUAUGGACUUUCAUAUUUCAUAUUUAUUGGUUUAAUCUACUGAAUGUAUGUCUAAAUUAUUUUUAAGAGCAAACUAGGCAGAUAACAUAUAGUGAUAUGUAUCCAGAAAUGAUAUUGAAGAAUUUAGCAAACAAAUCUUCACGUCUUUUGCAUUAGAAGGCGAUGAAGUAACACUGAGUUCUUUUCCCAGUUUUAGAAGCAAGUUCUAGCAGAAAAACAUUUUUUCUUAGGUAUGUUCUACCCUUCCCCUAAAUUCUUAGAAAUAGUACGCAAAAUACUAUUGAACUUAUUAAACAGGCCAGACAUUUUUUUCCUUUAUGGUGGGUUUACGGAUUUGAUAAGGCAGGUGAAAAAAAGCCCAUGAUUUUUUACUUGGAUAUGUGGGUAAUAUGAAAAUAGGAAAUCCUGGUCUGGGUUAAUAAAUCUAAUAUCUGAUAGCAGUAUCUUAUUGGGAUUUCAUUAUCAAAGCAAUCUUAGCAAAUGGUAGUCAAAAAGCCCUGAGUGUUCUGAUUGUUUUUUCUGACUUUUCAAUCCGUAAACUAAGCCCAAAAAGAACCAAACACUGCAAGGCCUUAGCUUUAAAUUGUGAUACAUUCAGUUUGUAUACAUACAUUUUUAUGCCAGAUCAAUGUUAGAGCUUGUUUUACAACUUAUCAAACACACAUUAGAUCUGAAACAAAGUGGAACACUGAAGAACAAGCAAAAAUAUAAAUAUCUUUAUUAAAAAAGGAAUCAUCCAGAUAGUUUGUUAAAAUAUACACCAGAAAGGUUAUUUAGAAAAGCAUAGUUUCAAUAAAACAACACAUUUUACUCUCUGGACAUUCAUUUUCAGAAAGUUUGCAGGCUGUCAUGUUUGAUAAAAACAAACUACCUUUUGAUCAAAAUAUCUCACUGCAAAAGUAAACUCUUCUAAAUACUGUAAUAGAAAAGCUGUUAUUUAUCAGGUGUUUGUAAUACGUAAGGAUAAAUUCAUGUUUUAUUACUGUCAUGAUACAUUUAGAAUAUUCUACUACAACUACUAUUGGCCACCUGGCCAAAAUAUUGAAUACAUUCUGUUUGUUUAAUAAUAAACUUAGUCUGGCCUGAACUUAAAUGAACAAACAUGCACAAUGUCCUUGAGAACCAAAGCGUAUGUGUCAUUUGGCAGGUGAUAGUUGUACAAUAGUGCCAUACUGAUGUGGAAACAUACCAUGUUUGUUAUAGUGAGACCUUAAUAACAUCCUGAAUUAUGCAAGUUGCUUGAUGUAGAUAUAAUACCUGUCAACAUGUGAAUGUGAGAUUUUAUCAAGGGGAAGUCAUUUUAUAAAGUUUUUAGCAUAUUAAUCAUUUUAUUAGAAUUGUCCAUUGUUUAUGCUUGUGUACUCAUAUUGUUUGCAUAUCUGUUACAGAUUGUGAAAUUUUGUUUACCUUUCAACAAUUGACCAAACUUGUUAAUCAAGAACAUCUAUCUAUACAAAUAUGUAAGCAUGAACCAAAUAUUUCUUUUAUUCACUUUUGUGUGUGUUCUAAUCUAGAUUUGUGUUACUAUUCUUUUGCAACUUAUUCAACAUGUAAAAUAAAGGAUGCGCAAACAGUUCUUUAGCAUAGCUUCUUAGGUAUUUGAGUAUUAUUUGGAGCAAAAAGAAAAGUGUCAUACUAACUGAAAAUCCAAAUUUGCCAGUUCAUUUAAAAAAGCAACAAAGUAACUUUCACUAAUCAUUAGAAAUCUUUGCAUAAAGCAGAACCCACUGCAAGUUCCUAACUAUAUUCUUAGCAUGUUUUCCAUAAAUUACUCUCAUAUAGGGAUAAUUCAGGUGUCUACAAAAGAUAAGCACAUCCUGUCCCAAGGAUGGAACCCAUCACAAACACAUGUGAAGGCAAGUCAAUUGUUCAGCUGAAAAACAUGGAGAACAUGGUACAAGAAUAAAUAGGGGAAUGCAUCAGACAUAUGUUUUGCCAAAGCAAAGUUUCUGCGUUAUAAUGAAUUGUAGUUAAAUUGCAAUGUUUUAUUGUGGUUAUCUCAAGAUUAUCUCAAAAUCACCCAAAUGAUAAUAUCAAAGUAAACCAAAUUAUUAUUCCCUUGCACCGUGCAGACUACACAAAGUAACACAGGCUCUGAAACAUAAUUCAUCUUGAGCAUGUACAAGCCAGUAAUGAAACAACUCAUAAUUCAACUGCUCAUGUCAAACUUGAUGUUUGUUGUUAUAUUUUAUGCAGUUUGAAUUGUCAGAAAGCCAAACAAUAUCUCCUUGAUAUUAGACUUUACUAAAUGAAUAAACUUCAAAGAAUAUAGCAGUGUUCAUGUAUUUUUUCAUAUCUUUCUUUUUUGGCUCAUAGAUACAAUGUCGUGAAACGUUAGACAUAAUGCUAUUGUAGGGAUGAUAUGAUGUUUCAAAAGUACAUUAGGCCUAAAAAAUAAAGUUGUGGUUCCGAUUACCCGACCGACCCUUGAAUUCUGGUGCUGACCCUAGAUUUUUUAAGUGGUGUAAAUAAAAUAAGCAUUCAGAUACCAUUGUUUUUUCCCCGGCACCGAUGGACAUCGGUCAUUCUGAUAGAGAAAGUCGACAUGAUGUCAGCAAGCUUGAUUAAGUAAACAAUUACACAUUGAUAAAUGUGUUAUUAGUUUGUACUUUACUUCUAAAAUAAAUGUAAAAAAAUAUAUUCCUACCUACUCUAAAUUUUAAAGAGCUGUAAUCGGGAACAACAACAUUUUUUUAAUAUGGCCUUAUAUGAACAAAUUUUAAUAGGUAGGUCUCUAGUAGAAAUGUCAGUUGACUGUAUUCACAUGGCACAUUGGUUAAUCUUUAUUAUCAUUUUGAUCACAGUCAUGAAUCUUUUAUGCAUCUGUUGCAGCAGUUUGAGGAUGAACUGUGAGCCAGUCAGAGUAAGCAUUAUAUAUAGUAACUGAAGAUGUUGCAACCAGCAAGCAAACAGUAUUCCUUCAGACACAGAAUUUGGGUAUGUCACAUAUCCAUUUAGUGCUGUUUGAUGUAGAAAGCUGUUGUCAAACUACCAGAGGACUUGCUGGUAGGCCUUGGGUGGCAGGGUGAGCAAGUGGUUCAUACAGAUAGCUUGGGUUUGAUUCCCAGAUUUCUUGGUAUCCUGUGAUGUGUGAUGCCUGGAUCAUUGCAAAAACAUCCAAAAUCCACCCUUGCUCACUCACUCAUUCCAAACAGGCCUGCCUGCUGCAUAUGACCGACAAGUAAAUUUGGAAUUAAAUGAAAUUUCAGUGGAGUCUGUGUUACUGUAAAAAUUGUUAAAUCUUUUGCAAAAUAAAUAGUAUCUAAAAUAGAUAAUAGAAGAGACCUGACCUGCUUCAGAGAACAACCUAAGCAUGUUUCUUUACUAUUGCACCCAUCUGAUUCCUUCUACUAAAAUAUUUACAUUUGAUUUUAAGCAUUACUCUUGAUGAAGCAAGUAAGACAUUAAGUUUACUUAAUACAAUUUUCAAGCUAAUAGUAAUAAUUGUGUCUGAAUGUUUUUCUCAUAUUCUGGAAGGAAAGAUACGCAUAUUAUGAUAAAUAAACAGAAGGUUAGUCAUUACAAAUGCUAAAGCCUGCAGAGUGUAUGCAAUCUCUGGAUGCAUUUGUCUUAAAAAGGAUUUGCCUAGUUGUGCUUUCAGGUGCAUGCAGUACACACUUAAUGUAGAAGCUACACUGCCUUACACCAAUCAAAGGAUUGCUGAUGUUGUCAGCGAACCUUUGUGUUUCUUACAGCAGGAAAUUAUUACUUGAACAUGUCAGUAGGUUGACAGAUGGUUUCAUCAUUUUGGUUUGAGGAUGUAGCAGGUUUCCAAAGAAUCCAAUCAAGAAAUUCAUGUUGAAGUUUGUUUUUAGCAUUUUGUGAAUUAUUCAUUAGGGUCAUGAAAGCGGCCAAUUAAGAAAGUAUGCCUCACAUGAGACUUCCAUGUGAUAACUGUUGACAAUUGUUGAAAGUACUGUUGAGUUUUGAAAAUGACAGGUCUGUUAGCCCAUCGGUUGCUCAUUAUAUUAUUAUAGUACAUCUGUGUGUCUGUGUAACACAUACUCAUAUGUUUUGUAAGGACUUGGUUUAAUGUCAUUGCAGCUCAACUGAAACUUAAAGGGAAGUAAAUACUGAAACAGUACUUUUUUAAGUUUUUAAGAAGUACUGGUAAUGUAGUAACAUUGUAGUGAAUCUGUAAGGGACAUUUAAUUAAUCAGAUAUUUCAAAUGUUGAACUAAUUUAAUGAUGGGUACAAUGUAUGAAGUCCAUUUCUGGUGUUCCCUGCCAUAUUGCUGGAACAAUGCUAAAAGUGGCUUAAAACUAAAACUCACUCACGCAUUCAUUAAUUUAAGGAUUUCGCUAAUGUCAAAUGUACUGACUCUCGGAUAAAUUUCCUUGACAAUUUUGCUUAUGAUGCUUGUAGUGUUAACAUAUCAAAGUGGACACAUUGAGGUAGAAGGUAAUUUCAGUCAGCAGAACUAUUCUAUAUUCUGGUGACCAUUGUGUCAUCUUACCUGAGUGAUAUUUAUAUAUUUUCAUUGCAUCAAAUCCUUAUAACAGUCAUCUCAUUAGCACAUACUGAUUUCAUAUCAAUAUUAGGGCAGAUUAAUAUGUUUUUCCCAUUUUUGACUUAUCAUAUGAAUUAUUUUAUUUGCCAUACUAAACCAUAUUAAUUUUAUUUAUUGUUUUGUUUAAAUAGUGGGUAAUCAUUUGUAUUGGAUAUUAAACAUUCAGAUUCUGGUAUAUUUAAUCUUAUUAAAUUCCUAGAUUUAGUAUGUAGUAACCAAGUUUUUGUCCAAAGUCCAAAAUGUUUGUCAUUGCUCAAAAUGAAAAACAUGCAAACUUCAUACUGAAUGGAAAAUGAUCAUAUGCAGUUCACAGUUUGAAAUUAGUUGUGAUAAGAUACUCCUUGCCAGGUUCAUUUAUUAAAUUAAUUUGUUAUUUGUUGUUUAUUUGCUGACAAAUGAUAGGCUUGAUGUAUUGAUUUAUUUUAGCAAUAACCCUUUCAAUAAACCAUAGCAUUUCAUUCAGUGUUCGGAUCCAAAGUUUUCUUUAAGAAUGCCUGAAAAACUGCAGUUUCCAUUUUAAAUAUCUUGAAGCUUAAGUUUGCCAAAAUGUGAGCUUUUUUGAAAAAAUUUGUUGAAAAGAAAUUUAUCUGACUUUCAGAUUGAUAAUAUUACAUGUGCAUGUGUAGUUAAGAGAAAUAGUUGAAUGAAUACUUAUUGGGUUUUUAAGUCUGUUUUUGAUAGCUUAUGAAACAUGAGUACUAUCUACAUGUAAAAAGACAAAACUCUAGCAUUGUUACAUAUGUGCUUACAGGUAUGUCUGAUAUCUUGUUUUGGGGUUUAUGCUGCGUGUAGUACAUUUUUGAAAUGCAGUGAAAGAAUUGUUGAAUUUGUAAAUAAAAUGAUUUACAUGUAAAAAAUAAUAAAUUUUUCAAUGUA